UCCCCUAGUAACUGCGAGUGAAGCGGGAAAAGCUCAAAUUUGAAAUCUGGCAGCCUUUUUUUUCUUCUUUGGCUGUCCGAGUUGUAAUCUAGAGAAGUGCUUACCUGUGCUGGACCAUGUAUAAGUCUCCUGGAAUGGAGCGUCGCAGAGGGUGAGAAUCCCGUCUUUGACAUGGACUGCCAGUGCGUUGUGGUGUGCUCUCAAAGAGUCGAGUUGUUUGGGAAUGCAGCUCUAAAUGGGUGGUAAACUCCAUCUAAAGCUAAAUAUUGGCGAGAGACCGAUAGUGAACAAGUACCGUGAGGGAAAGAUGAAAAGGACUUUGGAAAGAGAGUUAAACAGUAUGUGAAAUUGUUGAAAGGGAAACGCUUGAAGUCAGUUAUGUUGGCUAGGGAUCAACCUAGCUAUUUUAUUGUUGGGUGAAUUUCCUGGUCUGACAGGCCAACAUCAGUCUUGACUGCUGGAAAAGAGCAGAGGGAAUGUGGCACCUUUGGGUGUGUUAUAGCCCUUUGUCAUAUGUGGCAGUUGAGACUGAGGGAUGCAGCGUGCCGUGAGGCUGGGUUUUGACCACGUUCACGCUUAGGAUGUUGGCUUUUAAUGGCUUAAUCGACCCGUCUUGAAACACGGACCAAGGAGUCUAACAUGCCUGCGAGUGUUUGGGUGGAAAACCCUUGUGCACAAUGAAAGUGAAAGUUGAGAUCCCUGUCAUGGGGAGCAUCGACGCCCGGACUUGAGCUAUUAGCGACGGAUCCGCGGUAGAGCAUGCAUGUUGGGACCCGAAAGAUGGUGAACUAUGCCUGAAUAGGGCAAAGCCAGAGGAAACUCUGGUGGAGGCUCGUAGCGAUUCUGACGUGCAAAUCGAUCGUCAAAUUUGGGUAUAGGGGCGAAAGACUAAUCGAACCAUCUAGUAGCUGGUUCCUGCCGAAGUUUCCCUCAGGAUAGCAGAAGCUCAUUAUCAGAUUUAUGUGGUAAAGCGAAUGAUUAGAGGCCUUGGGGUUGAAACAACCUUAACCUAUUCUCAAACUUUAAAUAUGUAAGAACGAGCUGUCACUUGAUUGGACUGCUCGGCGAUUGAGAGCUUCUAGUGGGCCAUUUUUGGUAAGCAGAACUGGCGAUGCGGGAUGAACCGAUCGCAAGGUUAAGGUGCCAGAGUUCACGCUCAUCAGACACCACAAAAGGUGUUAGUUCAUCUAGACAGCAGGACGGUGGCCAUGGAAGUCGGAACCCGCUAAGGAGUGUGUAACAACUCACCUGCCGAAUGAACUAGCCCUGAAAAUGGAUGGCGCUUAAGCGUGACACCCAUACCUUGCU
rnacentral:rRNA from 1 species